rnacentral:rRNA from 1 species
AUUGAACGCUGGCGGCAGGCCUAACACAUGCAAGUCGAACGAGUGGCGGACGGGUGAGUAAUGUCUGGGGAUCUGCCUGAUGGAGGGGGAUAACUACUGGAAACGGUAGCUAAUACCGCAUACCAUCAGAUGAACCCAUAUGGGAUUAGCUUGUAGGUGGGGUAACGGCUCACCUAGGCGAUGAUCCCUAGCUGGUCUGAGAGGAUGACCAGCCAAACUGGGACUGAGAAACGGCCCAGACUCCUACGGGAGGCAGCAGUGGGGAAUAUUGCACAAUGGGCGCAAGCCUGAUGCAGCCAUGCCGCGGGUAUGAAGAAGGCCUUCGGGUUGUAAAGUACUUUCAGUCGGGAGGCGUUACCGACAGAAGAAGCACCGGCUAACUCCGUGCCAGCAGCCGCGGUAAUAC